rnacentral:rRNA from 1 species
GGCCUGGUCAAGAGGUCCGCCAUCUGUCAUUGCGCCGGGUCUCCUUUGGUGAGCUAGUGUGCAUUAGGAAACCAAGACUAUUACCUUGAAAAAUUAGAGUGUUUAAAACGGACAAUUGCUUGAAUGCAUUAGUAUGGAAUAAUGAAAUAGGACGGGCAGUUCUAUUUUGUUGGUUAUGAGGUCACCGUA